AGGCCCUUAGCUCAGCUGGUAGAGCGCUGGUCUCCAAAACCAGAAGUCGUCGGUUCGAAUCCGGCAGGGCCUGCCA
rnacentral:tRNA from 1 species